rnacentral:rRNA from 1 species
UACGGAGGGGGCUAGCGUUGUUCGGAAUUACUGGGCGUAAAGCGCACGUAGGCGGCUUUGUAAGUUAGAGGUGAAAGCCCAGGGCUUAACCCUGGAAUUGCCUUUAAGACUGCAUCGCUAGAAUCGUGGAGAGGUGAGUGGAAUUCCGAGUGUAGAGGUGAAAUUCGUGAGAUAGUUCGGAAGAACACCAGUGGCGAAGGCGACUCACUGGACACGUAUUGACGCUGAGGUGCGAAAGCGUGGGGAG